AACCGGAUUAGAUACCCGGGUAGUCCCAGCUGUAAACGAUGCAAACUCGGUGAUGCAUUGGCUUGUGGCCAAUGCAGUGCCGCAGGGAAGCCGUUAAGUUUGCCGCCUGGGAAGUACGUACGCAAGUAUGAAACUUAAAGGAAUUGGCGGGGGAGCACCACAAGGGGUGAAGCCUGCGGUUCAAUUGGAGUCAACGCCAGAAAUCUUACCCGGAGCGACAGCAGAAUGAAGGUCAAGCUGAAGACUUUACCAGACAAGCUGAGAGGUGGUGCAUGGCCGUCGCCAGCUCGUGCCGUGAGAUGUCCUGUUAAGUCAGGUAACGAGCGAGACCCCUGCUCCUAGUUGCUACCGUUACUUUCUGGAGUAGCGGAGCGAAUUAGUAGGACCGCCGCAGUUAAUGCGGAGGAAGGAAGGGGCCACGGCAGGUCAGUAUGCCCCGAAACUCUGGGGCCACACGCGGGCUGCAAUGGUAUUGACAAUGUGUUCCGAAUCCGAAAGGAGGAGGCAAUCAUCAAACAAUACCUCAGUUAUGAUUGAGGGCUGUAACUCGCCCUCAUGAAUAUGGAAUCCCUAGUAAUUGCGCGUCACUACCGCGCGGUGAAUACGUCCCUGCUCCUUGCACACACCGCCCGUCGUUUCAUUGAAGUUGGCUUUUAGUGAGGUAGUGUCUUGUUGGCAUUAUCGAGCUUGAGGUCAGUGACAAGGGAAAA
rnacentral:rRNA from 1 species